UUAUCCUAUUGUUACAAAGAGAUAUCAAGAUUUAUAUGGAACCUACGUGACAAUUACAACCAAGAUUCUGGUGACCAAAAUGGAUGAAGUCAUGCCCCUCAGGAUGGUGAGAUUCUGGAUAACCUUGGAUGCCACAUGUUGAAGCUCUACAGGAAGAAAUUUCUCACCUGGAAGCAAUGAGGAAGAAGGCUGUGUUGGGAGUUGGAAGAAAAUAGGUAGGGAGAGCAUGGCAGAGACAGGACUGCAACAAAUAUGAAUCGAAGACAUCUCUUCAAGGAGUGGGAAAGGAAAA